GACGAACGCUGGCGGCGUGCUUAACACAUGCAAGUCGAACGGAAAGGCCCUGCUUUUGUGGGGUGCUCGAGUGGCGAACGGGUGAGUAACACGUGAGUAACCUGCCCUUGACUUUGGGAUAACUUCAGGAAACUGGGGCUAAUACCGGAUAGGAGCCCCUGCUGCAUGGUGGGGGUUGGAAAGUUUCGGCGGUUGGGGAUGGACUCGCGGCUUAUCAGCUUGCUGGUGGGGUAGUGGCUUACCAAGGCUUUGACGGGUCGCCGGCCUGGGAGGGUGACCGGCCACAUGGGGACUGAGAUACGGCCCAGAGUCCUACGGGAGGCAGCAGUGGGGAAUAUUGCACAAUGGGCGGAAGUCUGAUGCAGCAACGCCGCGUGCGGGAUGACGGCCUUCGGGUUGUAAACCGCUUUCGCCUGUGACGAAGCGUGAGUGACGGUAAUGGGUAAAGAAGCACCGGCUAACUACGUG
rnacentral:rRNA from 1 species